rnacentral:rRNA from 1 species
CCUACGGGGUGCAGCAGUCGAGAAUCAUUCACAAUGGGGGAAACCCUGAUGGUGCGACGCCGCGUGGGGGAAUGAAGGUCUUCGGAUUGUAACCCCCUGUCAUGUGGGAGCAAAUUAAAAAGUUAGUACCACAAGAGGCAGAGCCGGCUAACUCUGUGCCAGCAGCCGCUGUAAUACAGAGGGGUCAAGCGUUGUUGGGAAUCACUGGGCGUAAAGGGGGCGUAGGCUGUUACGUAAGUCGUGUGUGAAAGGCGCGGGCCCAACCCGCGGACUGCACAUGAUACUGCGAGACUAGAGUAAUGGAGGGGGAACCGGAAUUCUCGGUGUAGCAGUGAAAUGCGUAGAUAUCGAGAGGAACACUCGUGGCGAAGGCGGGUUCCUGGACAUUAACUGACGCUGAGGCACGAAGGCCAGGGGAGCGAAAGGGAUUAGAUACCCCAGUAGUC